rnacentral:rRNA from 1 species
CUACGGGUUGCUGCAGUGAGGAAUAUUGCACAAUGGGGGGAACCCUGAUGCAGCAACGCUGCGUGGAGGAUGACGCAUUUCGGUGUGUAAACUCCUUUUAUAUGUCAAGAAAAUGACGGUAGCAUAUGAAUAAGCACCGGCUAACUCCGUGCCAGCAGCCGCGGUAAUACGGAGGGUGCAAGCGUUACUCGGAAUCACUGGGCGUAAAGGACGCGUAGGCGGGUUGGAAAGUCAGGUGUGAAAUCCUACAGCUUAACUGUAGAACGGCACUUGAAACUUCUAAUCUAGAGUAUGGGAGGGGGAGAUGGAAUUAGUGGUGUAGGGGUAAAAUCCGUAGAUAUCACUAGGAAUACCUAAAGCGAAGGCGAUCUCCUGGAACAUUACUGACGCUAAGGCGUGAAAGCGUGGGGAGCAAACAGGAUUAGAUACCCUUGUAGUC